ensembl:lncRNA
GCUGUGGGCUCUUCUGUGAGAUGAAAGUGGUCACAUGGAAGGAACACACUAAGGAUUCAUGGAGUGAAGUGAGAACUAAGGUGUCAACACUGUGCCAGGAUGUGAGAGAAACAAGGAUCGAAUCCCUGAAGACAAGGGCAGCUCGUGUGUGAGUUGAAAAAGCCAACUGGACAUGGAAAAACAUGUUUGUAGGAGUAACAAGCAAGGUCAGUAGCAGAUCCACUACCACUGAACCUCCAGGAGCACCCCAAGAUGGACUGGGAAGAAUAGUUGCUUUGUGUCCUAUGGUAUACUUCCCUCAGCUGCAUCUUUCAUGUAUGCUCGUUUUUGAUUGCAGAUCUGGAAAUUACAAAUCACUAUUUUCAAGGUAACCAUAGCCACAUUAAAAUUAUUGUUGUCUGCUCUGACCCUAGUUCAGUUGAUUAAAAAUAUUCGACCGAAAUCCGGGCAGCUACAGGUAUACAAAUUAUACUAGGAUACUUGUAGGUAGAAGUAGAAUAGCAAAUGCUUUAUCUGAUUAAAUAUCUGCCUCUUUGCAGUCCAGCAGCCACGGCAGUGAUAUAAAUAAGGGAGCUUGUUCAAUGUUCAAAAUUUCAAGCUGGCACCAUAACACAAUAUCCAAAAUGUCCAGAUAUCAAUCAAAAAGCACUCUUCAUACCCCAAACAAGGAAAACCUCAACAUGAGUGAAAAAAGUCAAUCAGUAAAUAGUAACCUCUACCUAAUAGGUGUGUAAAAAUUAUCUUGAAAGGAUUUUAAAACAGCCAUUAUAAAAAUGCAUCACAGAACAAUUGCAAACAUGCUUGAAUAAUAUGAAAUAAUAGAAAGCAUCAGGAAGAAAAUACAAAAUGUAACCAAGGAAAAAUGGAAAUUUUAGAAAUAAAAAUAAGAAAACAGAUCAACAGAAAAGAUUAGCCAGAAAAAAACCCCAAAGUGCAGACUUAAAAUUUAAAAUAAUAACAUUAAAUAUAUAAACUAUGAAAUUUGAAAAGAGACAGAGAUUGGUGAAUCUAUAAGAAAAGUCCCAACUAUAUGUUGUCUAUUAGACACACAUCAAAUAUAACAGUACAAGUAAGUUGAAUACAAGAGAAAGAAAAAGUAUAUACCAUACUAAGUUUCAUAAAAAGAAAUCAGAAGUCAUUAAUAUCAAUAUCAGAUAUAUAGACUACAGAGCCAAAGAAAAUUACCAGGGACAGAAAGGUAUAUUACAUGAAGAAGAAAGAGUUCUACAAGAAAACAAAGCAACUUUAAAUGUGUAUGCACCAAACAACAGAGCAACAAAGUGCAUGUGGCAAAAAUAAACAAACAAAUAAACAAAAAUUGCACUUGGAGAAUUUAAUCCUUCUUCUCAGCAAUUGAUAGGACAACUAAUCAGAAACUGGCAAGGAUAAAGAUGCAUUCAACAACAUCAUCAACCCACAGGAUCAAACUGACAAUUAUAGAACACUCCAAACAACAAUAGUGGAAUUCAAACUUUUCCAAGUGCCGACAGAACAUGUACCAAGAUAGGCUGUAUCCUGCCCACAGAACACUUCAACACAUUUAAAAUAAUUACAAUUAUAGUAAGUGUGUACUCUGACCACAGAGAAAUCAAACUAGAAAUCGAUCUUGAAAAUAUAAUCAGAAAAUUUUCAAACACUUGGAACAUAAACCAUAUAGGUUGUUUGUUUUUGUUUUUGUUUUUGUUUUUUCCAAAGAACUAGCUUUUAGUUUGCUUGGUGUUCACUAUUCCUUCUCUGUUUUUAAUGUUAUAAUUUUUGCUCUAAUUUUUAGUAUUUAUUUUCUUCAGGUUUUAAAUCCUUUAAUUUAAAUCACUCCUGUUUCUGUAGUUUCAUAAGGUGAAUGUUGAGAUUAUUGAUUUGAUGCUUUUAGUUGUACACACACACAUGUUGAUGUAUAUAUGUACAAAUGCAUAUGUAUGUGCAUGCCUGUAUUAGUCUGUUUUGAAUUAGUAUAAAGGAAUACCUGAAAUUGGGCAAUUUAUAAAGAAAAGAGGCUUAUUUGGCUCAUGGUUGUGUAAGCUGUACUAACAAGGCACCAGUGUCUGUUCAGCUUCUGGUGAUGCCUCUGGAAGCUUUUAAUCAUUGCAGAAAAGAAAGGGGAGCAGGAGUGUCACAUGGUGAGAGAGAGAGAGCAAGAGAGCGAGGAAGAGGUGCCAGGCUCUUUAUUUUAUUUUAUUUUUUAAUUUAUUUAUUAUUAUUAUACUUUAAGUUCUAGGAUACAUGUGCAU